AGAGUUUGAUCCUGGCUCAGGAUGAACGCUAGCGGCAGGCCUAAUACAUGCAAGUCGAACGGGCCUGGGGACUUCGGUUCCUAGGUCAGUGGCGCACGGGUGCGUAACGCGUAUGCAACCUACCUUCCACUGGGGGAUAGCCCGUCGAAAGACGGAUUAAUACCGCAUAAAGCCAAUUGAGGGCAUCCGAAGCUGGCUAAAGAUUUAUCGGUGGCAGAUGGGCAUGCGUGCCAUUAGCUAGUUGGCGGGGUAAGGGCUCACCAAGGCGACGAUGGCUAGGGGUUCUGAGAGGAUGAUCCCCCACACUGGCACUGAGAUACGGGCCAGACUCCUACGGGAGGCAGCAGUAGGGAAUAUUGGGCAAUGGGCGCAAGCCUGACCCAGCCAUGCCGCGUGCAGGAUGAAGGCCUUCUGGGUUGUAAACUGCUUUUAUCUGGGAAGAAAAAGGGCCUGCGGGCCAAACUGACGGUACCAGAUGAAUAAGCACCGGCUAACUCCGUGCCAGCAGCCGCGGUAAUACGGAGGGUGCAAGCGUUGUCCGGAUUUAUUGGGUUUAAAGGGUGCGUAGGCGGCCCGUUAAGUCAGCGGUGAAAUCCCACGGCUCAACCGUGGAACUGCCGUUGAUACUGGCGGGCUUGAGUACAGACGAGGUAGGCGGAAUUGAUGGUGUAGCGGUGAAAUGCAUAGAUACCAUCAGGAACCCCGAUUGCGUAGGCAGCUUACUAGGCUGUAACUGACGCUGAGGCACGAAAGCGUGGGGAGCGAACAGGAUUAGAUACCCUGGUAGUCCACGCCGUAAACGAUGAUGACUCGAUGUCGGCGAUAAACAGCCGGCGUCUUAGCGAAAGCGUUAAGUCAUCCACCUGGGGAGUACGCCCGCAAGGGUGAAACUCAAAGGAAUUGACGGGGGCCCGCACAAGCGGUGG
rnacentral:rRNA from 1 species